rnacentral:lncRNA from 1 species
UUUUUUUUUUUUUUCUGGUAGUCUCAAUACUUCACGUGUCUUAAAAAUUAAUGAUUAUAUAUCUUGCCAACACAUACAGAAUUUAAUAUAAAAUGGUAAUGUCAUAGUUAGCAAUCUGUCUGUAGCAUAUCAAAGAUGCCAGCCAUGACAAAAAGAUAGCUGGGAUGACCAAUGCUGUCUUUGUGCUAAACAAAGGUUAUUUGGAAGGAAGCAACCAACCAUGGUUAAAACAACCAACCAUGUUGUGGAUGAGUUCAGUAUACAUUUAUCAUUACUGUCUGAAAACUGGUGGCCCUGUGCCACAGCUUUUUUUUCUCCUCUCUUCCAAGAAGGUUUGCAGAACUAGGAUUUACCCAGCUCUUCGGAAUGGGAUUGGUGAAGGCCAGUACUACAAAUGCGAAUGUAGUAUCAGCACCCAAUUGCUUUGAUAUCACACACAGAGAAUCACAUUUCUACUGUGAUAUCGAUAUCUCGCCACCCUUGUGUUAUUCAUUGUUUCAAUUGCAGUGUCGGAGGAGGGACCACAGAAUACUUUCCUGCAUACAAGGCUUGUGAAAGUUUUUUUCCUCAGGAAUUGCACCCAGAGAAUGCAUGCCUACAUAAUGCUAGAGCGGCUCUUUCAUAUCAGUCAGUGUACUUCUCUUCGCUCAUAGUCUGCCUAGAUUUGCAUUCUGGACUUAAAACAAUCUUAAUGUGCAUGUGAGUUUUUAGACUGAAUGAUGAAAUCAGCCCACUAUUUGUGGAUUUGUGGUGAAGAAAAUCCUUCAAGAGAUAUGUGCUCCAGCUUUGCCUUAAGGCAGCCAGUUGAUAGUGUCUGAAGUUAUCCCAGUGUAGCUAUAUCAUUUACUGGUUCACACUGGUCUUACAAUCCCAAUGCCAAGAAACAUCUCUAGUUGCUCAUCAGAGGAGAGGGAUGCCUAUCUCUCAACUUAAAAAAUUACAUUCAAAAUGUAUAUAGUGCAUUAUAAAAAAUCACCUGCAGGACAACGGAGGAGUCACCGACCCUGGAGGUGUUCAAGGAACAUUUAGACAUUGUGUUGAGGGACAUGGUUUAGUGAGAACUGUUGGUGACGGGCAGAUGGUUGGACAGGAUGAUCUUGUAGGUCUUUUCCAACCUUGGUGAGUCUAUGAUUCUGUGAUUCUAUGAAGUCAUGUUGAAGGCUGAACACCAAGUGGGGGAAGAGUGUUUUAUUAGGCUAGCAAAGUCAGAAUGUGAGGAAAAUGUUACAGAGCAAGGAGCCUUCCAGGAGCCUUCCAGGAGCCUGGCAGUGCUGGAGUUGUCUCCCAGGAGCCUCAGCUGCAGCACCUCCACCUUCUACCCUGAAUGUAUAUCAUGGACAUCUUCAUGUAAGGAAAUCUUCCAGCCAAGGAACUCCCUCAGCUACUGAGAAUUGCAUCAGUGAAUGCCCAUGUACAGAAUGUAACUGAAGACUUACUUGAUGCCAUUUCAGGCCAUAGAACUACCAACAUGUAGCUAAUGUCUCUUUUAUUCUGCACUGACUUGAGCUUUGGCUUUCUUAGCAAACUCAAAUACCACAUAUUCCAAAAGUGUCAAAAACAUAAGCAAUUGUGCUGUGUUGAGAAGGAAAAGCCAUGCACAGUGUAUUGCCAGGUACAAAUGAAACCACCAUCAUUGACAAUAGCCGUUAUAUUGUAAGUACAGCCCAGAAUUUAACAGCAUAUAAAGGCAAUCGUAGUUCUAUUGCCAAGAAAGAAAAGUUUUACCAGUUCUUCUGACUGAUCUCAGCAUUUGUUUCAUGUAAUUAAACAUUGCAACAGUAAAAAAAAAAAAAAAAAGUUCUUUGUCAGAGUGACAGUUAAGCCCUGACUUAAACCAUAACAUCAAGCGUGUACGUAGCUGAAAAUCCAAUCUGGCUGACAUUUUGUCUUGAACACAUGCUAUCAUAACCCCAAAUUAAAGGCAGCACUUACAUUGCACCAGGUUAAAUCACACACACUUCGGCAACUUUGGCAUGUAGAAGAAGCAUAAGGCAACAUGAAGAUUGUGUCAGACCAAAUUUUCAGCCUUCUUUUCUUGGUAUUUUUGAAUUUUACCCAGACCUCCAAGGUUAUACACUUUUCAUAGUCUCAUUUCAUUUUCUCCCUGGGGCACUGGUGCAUAUUUACCUGCUAACUAUAAUAAUUCCUCUGAAACUAAAUAAUUUAUAAUAGGCGUAUCACGAUCCUUUCAGAUGUGUUGUGAUCUAAUCAGCAAGAACCUGUUUAGGAACUCUUAAAUCCUUUCAGGGCUUUUACCUUGAGACAGGCUAAUGUACAACUCAUAAAAACAAAUUCAUAACGGUUCACAUUUUGGUAAGAUGAUCCAUUCUCCAAAGCCUGCAAAUAAAUAUAAUAAGGUUAACUGAGUAUCUGCCACAUUCCAAACCUUAAUUGCACUGCUUGCUCAAAAAAUAAGGGUUUGCAGAAGUGCUUUUGUAAAUCAAAGGGAUGUUCAAACUGUGAGCACAGGGAAAAACAGGAACAGUCAGAUCUGACUAGACUGUCACUUUGGCAUGAUUUUGAGUUAAUACAUCUAAGUCAGAAUCUAAAUGUGCCUCAAAGAAAGAGCAUUUUCACUCCAUUGAGGGUCACACUUCAGAAGUUUGUUACCUUAAUAUCAGAAAUCUGCCUUUUCACCUCUACUUCAGUUUUCAGUAAUUUGAUUGGGUUUCCCAUGGGUUGGAUGGACUCUCAAGCAACUCUCACUCCUGUUCAGUGAACCCUCAUUAGCACAAAGUCAUGGCACAAGUCACUGCACCACAUCAUUCCUGCUCGGAAUAGACUUUCUGUAGUAAGUCUGUACCAGCCUGAAAGUACCUUGUUCCUGCUGAAGGAUUAAUGAUGAUAAAUAUGUAACUAUAGUAGGGAACACAGGAGAUGAGUUGGAAAAUUUGGUUAAGUAGUAAUAUGGCAGUUUAAUAAUGAAUGGCUAUAUUCAUUUAUGUUGUUUCAUGGAAUACGUACUACAUACUUCACUGCAUGAGCCUGAGCUGUGACUAGUGUGAGCAGAGAAAUUAUGUCACUGCAGCAGAAUACUUACUGCUCUUUACAAGCAAAUUAACAAAACAUUUUCUCCCAACGUCCUUUCGUCAAAAAUCCUCUUCCACCAACACCUUGUUAUUAAUCAAUACUCAUGCUGUGUUACUCCUUUACAUUUAACCUCCACUUGGAAAAAUCUGCUAUGAUGUCUCACAGUCGUGUCAUUUUUUGUAGGUAAAUUUCUAAUUGCAGCAACUACAAGCUAAAGCUUGAAAUGUGAGCACUGUAGACUGAGAUGCCAGUGCAUAAGCAAAAUUAAUUCACAUCUUUUCAAACUUUAAAACGUUUCUGUAAUCUUUUGAAUGCCAUCCUCCUUAUCACCUUAAUCCAAAUCAUUCUUUUAAAACUGUUCUUCUCUAAACACACACUUACAUAGCCCAUCACUUACUAUUCUUCGUUAGAACAAGUUUGACACUCACCGAGAAAGAAAAGCAGAUGACAAAAGUAGACACUUCUGAUGACACCAGCCAAAGUCUUGGUUGGUAUUCCUUAAAUAGGGAAGGUUAAACUACAGGGGUCAAUAAGCUCAAUUUUAAAAAUUAACCAAAAAAAAAAAAAAAAA